GAUGUUUGUAAACAUGCGUCAGCCACAUGUGAUUCUGGCGAUGAGGAAAGAGUCUCCAGCCGCUCGGCCAAUCAGUGACCGGGGGAGUGUCAGGGGCGGGGUUCUCGUCUUGCGCUAUGGAAAAUCGUUAGGGGAAUACACUGUGAUAACGCGCGCUCUGAGAUUGAUAAUGGCGACAGUAACGUCGAAACCUGAAUCAGAUGGACUGAUCGUUCAGCGAGGACCGGGUCUGAGUGCCACCGGCCGGGAAGUGGAUGACACUCCUUCGCCACGGGCUUGGGAUAAACACUCAACUCCACUUGGACCAAGAGCAGGACUGGAUGCCUGAGGCAGACCCAGGAGAGGCCACAGUAUCCUAUUGUGCAUUACAAAGAAGUCCACAGGGAGCUGCAGCGAUCUAUUUUUCCACAGUAUGAUUCAUCGACAAUUUUUGUUAGGGUUCAUUUCUGGUGCCAAGCUGCUACUGUGCCCUUUAUUACAUUGAGAUCUUGGUCACCUGAUGCUCUCCUGAUGCAAGAUACUGAGCUGCUGUGUCAUUCUGAAGUGUUCUGUCCAUCAAUCAUUGGUUCUUUUCGUUGCUCUCAGUGCCAAAGAAGUGUCUGAAUCUUCCUGAGUCUGGAGUUCUUAUUUAAAUUUGUCUCCGCUUGGAAAGUUUUAAUUCUACAGUAGCGACUUUAAACUUUUUAGCUUGAAUCUUUGAGCUAAAAUCAAAUGUGUCUGUAGCACAUAUUACACAUAUUCAGUAAGCUGUACUUACCAUAAAGAGUCAGCUUCAUUGUGAAUAAGGAAAACAGUUGUAUUUUUUUUGUUUCAAAUUCAUUAUCUAAAAGUUAAAGGGAUGUCCAUCAAAAAUGCUUUUAUGUAAUUUCAACACCACAGCAUGAGUUCUCCCUUUGAAAAAGCCAUAGAUCAGUGCCUUAAAAAAUGUUUUUCUCAAUAACGUAGUCAAAAUAAAAAGCUGUCAUUCAUGAAACUAGUGUUACUGCCAUUUCAAAGGGCAUCAUUAAUUACAUUGGGCAGGUGGCUAUGACAUCAGGAAAGAACAUCUGCCUAAUGGGAAAUUUAAUUAGUAUUAUUUUUAUUUGUACACAAAUCAAAUUUACUACCUUGUGGGCUGAGGUGCUUCAACAGUAUUAGAACAAAUCAGUUCAGCAUGUUGAUUAACUUCAUUGUCGUCUAAUUCUCAACCACAAAAUGUGCCAGAAAUUCUGGUUUGAUUUUGUGUUCCCACAGACACUGGACAAAUCAAUUGUAAAAUGAUGUGCUCAAAGUGGUUACAGCAGUGUUUCUAUUUAUUUUAUUUUCUAAUUUCAGAUGAGGACAUGCCUUCAGACAAUGGAUUCUCUCAAAGUCAUCCUCCCCAGGGAACUGGUUUCAGAUGGUGUCUUAGAGUACAAAAUCCCAUCUAGCACCAUUUGAAAUCGGUGUUCUUGAGUGGGAACAGACUUCAGGAAUGAUGUCACCGAACCAUAUUCUUUAUUAGGUUGACAGAAAGUUUAUUGCAUUGUUUGUGUCAUAAAUUUACAUGUAGCUCUAGAUUUCUGAUACAUUCAGAUAAUUGAUUGAUUUAUUGAUUUAAAAGUAUGAAAAACAGGAUGCUGACAGCAGUAUGGUGACCAACAGUGCGCUUGUACAUUUCUCCAUGUAAUAUUCCAAUCCUAAUGCUCAGCAAAUCCGAAAAAAACCACCAUUUGAUCCCAGUUCUCUGAGCACUAGACCCCCCUCUUACCAAGGCUGACCGUUUUCCUCUGGUGUUCAGAGUUUCCAUCAUGUCUAGCACCAUUUGAAAUCGGUUACAAUGUGGAGGGACUAUCAACAAAGAUUUUGCUUCAGUUGCAGAUGGAAUUCCACUAGAUGGCAGCAUUGCACUACAACUUCCAGAAUUGUCCAGGCUUGCCAAUAAAGAAUUCUUGAAGCAGUA